rnacentral:lncRNA from 1 species
GGUCCGGGAACACAAUUAUCCCCCUUCAAUUUUCGUUGUCCACAAAUAUAGUUCCCUUUAAUUUCAGUAUAUUUUUUCUUAAAUUUUUUUUUUGCCUUUCCUUUGAAUUUUUUCCCCUUUUUUUGCUUUAAUUUGAAUGUAAGGUUAUCUAAGAUAAUUUCUGUAAAAUUUCUUUUUGAUAUUUUGAGCAGGAAUAAGUGAUUGGGUUAGGUAAACAUAGGUGGGAUUUCCCCUUUUCGGAAGCUCUCUGGCUUAACCCAUACUGGUGUCCUUGUGUUUUGUGUUGCCAAGAAAAAUGAGGCGAUGAAGUUUUCUAAUUUUUUGAUAUGUUUUGUGGUUAAUGCCAAGAUUUAUGUACACAAAAUCUUGUUAGAAAAGCGCAGGUGGG